AGGAGUUUAGUUCAGUGGCAGAACAGCGGUCUCCAAAACCGCGGACGUGGGUUCGAUUCCCUCAACUCCUGCCA
rnacentral:tRNA from 1 species